UACGAAGGGGGCUAGCGUUGCUCGGAAUCACUGGGCGUAAAGCGCACGUAGGCGGCUUACUAAGUCAGGGGUGAAAUCCUGGAGCUCAACUCCAGAACUGCCUUUGAUACUGGUGAGCUUGAGUCCGGAAGAGGUGAGUGGAACUGCGAGUGUAGAGGUGAAAUUCGUAGAUAUUCGCAAGAACACCAGUGGCGAAGGCGGCUCGCUGGUCCGGUACUGACGCUGAGGUGCGAAAGCGUGGGGAGCAAACAGG
rnacentral:rRNA from 1 species